rnacentral:rRNA from 1 species
CUACGGGGGGCUGCAGUGGGGAAUAUUGCACAAUGGGCGCAAGCCUGAUGCAGCCAUGCCGCGUGUAUGAAGAAGGCCUUCGGGUUGUAAAGUACUUUCAGCGGGGAGGAAGGGAGUAAAGUUAAUACCUUUGCUCAUUGACGUUACCCGCAGAAGAAGCACCGGCAACUCCGUGCCAGCAGCCGCGGUAAUACGGAGGGUGCGAGCGUUAAUCGGAAUUACUGGGCGUAAAGCGCACGCAGGCGGUUUGUUAAGUCAGAUGUGAAAUCCCCGGGCUCAACCUGGGAACUGCAUCUGAUACUGGCAAGCUUGAGUCUCGUAGAGGGGGGUAGAAUUCCAGGUGUAGCGGUGAAAUGCGUAGAGAUCUGGAGGAAUACCGGUGGUGAAGGCGGCCCCCUGGACGAAGACUGACGCUCAGGUGCGAAAGCGUGGGGAGCAAACAGGAUUAGAUACCCCGGUAGUC